CAUCUGCGCAGGAAUCUAAUUAUACGAGAAUGCCCGAACCCUGAAGAUGGCACAGUGGAAGUUCUUCAGAAUGGUAUUGAUACAACGAGCCUCUUCUCCUUCAGGAUUUUAACCUUCCCAGGAAUCUCUGACCACGUCUUUCUGCACUGUGAGGUUCAUCUUUGCCUUGUACAGAGUGGGCAGAUGUGCAACGUCAUGCGACCAUGGAUACAGACGUAGAAGGCGCAGAUCUCUGGACUUCCACCACUCGGCAGCGAUCACCGUGGGUCUCAUGAGGGGUCCCAGUAACCCUGCUGAAUGAAAGAGCCUGCAUUUAUCAUCAAAAACUUCAAAAAUGACAUUGAAAUAUGAUUUGAAAGCACUCCCUUGUCUUGAAACAAUUCAAAGAUAUUUGAAAUAAACACAACACUUAUAAGAACUAACUGCUAGGUGAAAAAGAUGGAAAAACAAUUGAAUUGUAAAUAACUCUCUGUAUGUAUUGUUUUAUUGCUAUAGAAAAAGUGUUAUUGAAACAGUAUAUACAAAACUAAAUUCUUUCUUGGGUGGAUAUAACUAAAAUUUACUACUUAUGGAAUUAAAUUAGAGAAUAACUUUGUCUGUCUUUCUGCUUGUUGAAGGAGUAAUCUUGGAACACAACCAGACUAACCUUGAAUAAAA